rnacentral:rRNA from 1 species
CGUAAAGAGCUCGUAGGCGGUUUGUCGCGUCUGCUGUGAAAGCCCGGGGCUCAACCCCGGGUCUGCAGUGGGUACGGGCGGACUAGAGUGCAGUAGGGGAGACUGGAAUUCCUGGUGUAGCGGUGAAAUGCGCAGAUAUCAGGAGGAACACCGAUGGCGAAGGCAGGUCUCUGGGCUGUUACUGACGCUGAGGAGCGAAAGCAUGGGGAGCGAACAGGAUUAGAUACCCUGGUAGUCCAUGCCGUAAACGUUGGGCACUAGGUGUGGGGGACAUUCCACGUUUUCCGCGCCGUAGCUAACGCAUUAAGUGCCCCGCCUGGGGAGUACGGCCGCAAGGCUAAAACUCAAAGGAAUUGACGGGGGCCCGCACAAGCGGCGGAGCAUGCGGAUUAAUUCGAUGCAACGCGAAGAACCUUACCAAGGCUUGACAUUCACCGGACCGCCCCAGAGAUGGGGUUUCCCUUCGGGGCUGGUGGACAGGUGGUGCAUGGUUGUCGUCAGCUCGUGUCGUGAGAUGUUGGGUUAAGUCCCGCAACGAGCGCAACCCUCGUUCUAUGUUGCCAGCACGUGAUGGUGGGGACUCAUAGGAGACUGCCGGGGUCAACUCGGAGGAAGGUGGGGAUGACGUCAAAUCAUCAUGCCCCUUAUGUCUUGGGCUUCACGCAUGCUACAAUGGCCGGUACAAAGGGUUGCGAUACUGUGAGGUGGAGUUCAUCCCAAAAAGCCGGUCUCAGUUCGGAUUGAGGUCUGCAACCCGACCUCAUGAAGUCGGAGUCGCUAGUAAUCGCAGAU